rnacentral:rRNA from 1 species
ACCCCUACGGGACGCAGCAGUGAGGAAUAUUGGUCAAUGGGCGCGAGCCUGAACCAGCCAAGUCGCGUGAGGGAUGACGGUCCUACGGAUUGUAAACCUCUUUUGCCGGGGAGCAAGCGUGCGUUCGUGAACGCGCGUCGAGAGUACCCGGAGAAGAAGCAUCGGCUAACUCCGUGCCAGCAGCCGCGAUAAUACGGAGGAUGCGAGCGUUAUCCGGAUUUAUUGGGUUUAAAGGGUGCGUAGGCGGGAUGCCAAGUCAGCGGUAAAAAUGCGGGGCUCAACGCUGUCGAGCCGUUGAAACUGGG